rnacentral:rRNA from 1 species
GUGCCAGCAGCCGCGGUAAUACGGAGGGUGCAAGCGUUGUCCGGAAUCAUUGGGUGUAAAGGGUGCGUAGGCUGGCUCUUAAGUCUGAGGUGAAAUCUUGCCGCUUAACGGUAAAAUGGCCUUGGAUACUGGGAGUCUUGAAUCUGACAGAGGUCGGUGGAAUUCGUAGUGUAGCGGUGAAAUGCAUAGAUAUUACGAAGAACACCAGUGGCGAAGGCGGCCGGCUGGGUCAGUAUUGACGCUGAGGCACGAGAGCGUGGGGAGCGAACAGGAUUAGAUACCCUGGUAGUCCACGCUGUAAACGAUGUAUGCUAGUUGUUGGGCCGUGAGGUUCAGUGACGCAGUUAACGCAGUAAGCAUACCACCUGGGGAGUACGUUCGCAAGAAUGAA